rnacentral:tRNA from 1 species
GGCGUCGUAGCUCAACUGGUAGAGCAGUUCAAUCGCAGUCCUGGUUGAUCAGGAGGCCAACCGAUCAGUGGGUUGGAAAUAGUGUUCGGGUUCGAGUCCUGACGGUGCUU